rnacentral:misc_RNA from 1 species
GGAAGGAUCAUUAAAAAUCCAUAACAACCCGUUGAAACGUUUGCCUUUCCUUGCGAAAGGACCCUCGGUCUCGAAUAAAUUCACUUUAUGAGAGACCAAGGAGGAAGGAAUGAAACCGAUCCGUGCGUCAUUGCAAUGCUCCCUUACUUAGGUAGGGAUAUGGGACAAUGGCGAAUACGGCAGGGAUCUUUUCGACCUUAAGGAGUCAAUUGGUUUGGGAACCGUUUGGCUCUUGGUCCUGUACCAAGGAAAGUGCGCUAGUCAUAUUAUUAGACAUUUGUAUUUGGGUUCUGGGGGGAAUACAACUUUUAACAAUGGAUCUCUAGGCUCUUGCAUCGAUGAAGAACGCAGCAAAAUGCGAUAAGUAUUGUGACUUGCAUUCUUCGCGAACCAUUAUUUUUGAACGCACCUUGUACCUUUUGGCUUGCCAUUAGGUGUACUUGUUUGAGUAUCGUAUAUGCUCUCACCUUCUAGAAGAGAACCGCCUAAGGUAGGUCGCUUUAAGAGUAGAAAGUUCCAAUGGAACCAAGAUGGACAUUGUUCUGAUCUUGUGUUGGAUCUCUUAAGCAGGGCCUCUUAGGAUCAAUGUAUGGGUAACAUUGAACAGGGACUUUUCCCAAGAUGACUAUUCUUUUUGAAUGGCUGUCUUGGCAGAGAUCGUUAGAUCUCUUGACGGAUGGGACACUUAGACGGUCUAGGCCUCUCUUUGUCAGUACUUCCCGAAGUCGUGGACGUGAGAUUCGUUCUUAUUCCUAGCAAGCCUUUUCAUUAAGACCUCUGCAAAGAAUCCUGGAGCCGUUUCUUUAAAUAUAUGCCUGUCAAGGUUCAGACUUGUCCUUGGCAUGUUUUGCUUUGAAGACCCUUACACUUGCUGUAAGGGUGCCCUUAUCAUGACCUCUUGUCUUUUGAAAGACGCAAGGAAGUGUCUCCCAAGUGCGGUUAACAAUUCAUGAGUGAGUGAAUUGACUUGGGGACCUCUUUUCCUUUCGAAAGACCCAGUGAUAAAAUGACUCUGUUUGGCUUUACUUUUGGGUUAGAAAGUAUUGGCACAGAGCCUUUUUAUGACUUGAUUCAAGUAUCUCCAAGGAACCACCCUAUUGGUAAAUAGGGCCUUGGGCGCACAACUUGGAUCGUGGUGAUGGUCAUGAUCGACUCCUUCGGGAUGGGUUGCUCUUGUCUAGACUUGAUUCGUUCAGGUAGAUGUCUUCUUACCAAAGAUAUUUGCCGAGUCAACUUUAGGAAUGGAUCACGAGUGAUGAUGUUGGUGAAGCCUAUGGGUUAGUAGGAAACACACGCACAUUACACAUGAUCCAUAAGCACGAUUGAAGCAUGCAUGCCAGUGAGGUCAAAUGGGAUAACAUCCAUACAUUUGAUUACUGAAUUCUUGAUAAAAGCAGGCAAACGAAGGACGCUAGCACAAGACUCUCGGGUCUUUGCGAAUGUCAAUGGCGCAAGCCUUUAUUUACCGAUCUCAAAUCAAGUAAGAAUACCCGCUGAACUUAAGCAUAUCAGUAAGCGGAGGAAAAGAAACUAACUAGGAUUCCCUUAGUAACGGCGAGUGAACCGGGAAAGGCUCAAAAUUAAAAUCUGGCGUCCUCUGGGCGUCCGAGUUGUAAUUUAGAGAGCUUCCUUUGAAGGUGGUCCAUAGGCUCAAGUCCUUUGGAAAAAGGUAUCAUAGAGGGUGAAAAUCCCGUCUAGGCCCUUGGACCCUUUCAUAUAUAGGAGGCUCUACGAGUCGGAUUGUUUGGGAAUGCAAUCCAAAAUGGGUGAUACAUUUCAUCUAAAGCUAAAUAAUGGCAAGAGACCGAUAGCAAACAAGUACCGUGAGGGAAAGAUGAAAAGAACUCUGAAAAGAGAGUUAAAAGUACGUGAAAUUGUUAAAAGGGAAACGAUUACAACCAGUAUUGAGGCCUGGACUUCAGUGAAGGCUUUACGGCCUUCAUGUAUGGUCUUAGGACUCAAGUUGACCCCUUUUGAGGUGUCGGAUAAGGCUCAGGGGAAGGUGACUUGACUUUCGGGUCAAUGUCCUUAUAGCCCUUGGGAGAAACGAUGCCAUGGAAGGGUUUGCUCUUCGUGAGCCAGGCCUAUCGUAUGACUUUGGAAGCCUUCGGGUUGAGAAAGUCUUAAUAGUGCCAAGUCAACGAAAUGGUUUUAACCGACCCGUCUUGAAACACGGACCAAGGAGUACAACAAAGAUGCGAGUAUUUGAGUGGCAAACUCGAAUGCGUAAAGAAAUUGAUUUUUCAUGGAUUAGGGGUUGAGAGACCUUUAUGCACCAUGGCCCGGUCCUAGAUUUAUCUUGGAUUGAGGUAGAGCAUCUCUGCUGUGACCCGAAAGAUGGUGAACUAUGCCUGAAUAGGGUGAAGCCAGAGGAAACUCUGGUGGAAGCUCGUAGCGAUUCUGACGUGCAAAUCGAUCGUCAAAUUUGGGUAUAGGGGCGAAAGACUAAUCGAACCAUCUAGUAGCUGGUUCCCUC